rnacentral:rRNA from 1 species
UACGGGGGGGGCAAGCGUUGUUCGGAAUUACUGGGCGUAAAGGGCUCGUAGGCGGCCAACUAAGUCAGACGUGAAAUCCCUCGGCUUAACCGGGGAACUGCGUCUGAUACUGGAUGGCUUGAGAUUGGGAGAGGGAUGCGGAAUUCCAGGUGUAGCGGUGAAAUGCGUAGAUAUUCGGAAGAACACCAGUGGCGAAGGCGGCACACUGGCCCAUUACUGACGCUGAGGCUCGAAAGCGUGGGGAGCAAACAGG